AUAAUCACUUAAUAAAUAAAUUUACUGAAGUUCUUUCAAUUACAAUUGGUAUAAAUCUGUGGUUUGCUCCACAGAUUUCUGAGCAUUGUCCAAAGAAUAAUCCAGGUCGAUUUAUUGUGAAUGUUCCUUGAUUUAACCGACCUGGCGUUGCAUCAAUUUUAACCCCUAAUGCAGGAACUGCUCAUGAGUGUAGAACAUCUGAUGCUCUUGUUAAUACUCGUACUUCUGUAUUUAUUGGUAGGAUUGUUCGGUUAUCUACAUCUAGUAGUCGGAAUCCAUCAUUUUCUAGGUCUUGUUCUGGUGUUAUAUAAGUGUCAAAUUCUACGUCUAUGAAGUCUGAAUAUUCAUAUCUUCAAUAUCAUUGUCGUCCAAUGGUUUUAAUUGUAAUUAUUGCAUCUACUGAAUCAUCAAGUAAAUAUAAUAGUCGUAAUGAUGGAAGGGCAAUAAAAAUUAAUGUAAUUGCUGGUAAAGCUGUUCAGAUUGUUUCAAUUAAAUGUCCAUGAAGUAUAUUACGGUUAGUAUAGGCAAUAAAUAAUAUAUAACUUAGGGCAUAACCUACAAUUACUGUAAUUAAUAAUAAUACGACCAUAGUAUGAUCAUGAAAGAAUGAUAAUUGCUCCAUUAAUGGUGAAGCUCCAUCUUGAAGAGAUAAAUUUGAUCAUGUUGCCAUUAAUAAAUAUUUUCUAAUAAAAGGUCAAACCUUUAUUUGUAGAGCUUAAAUCUACUGCACUAAUCUGCCAUAUUAGAAUCUAGAGAUUAAUGGUAAUUCUGAGUAACUAUGUUCUGCAGGAGGGUUAUUUUGUAGUCAUUCUGUUGAUCUUCUUAUGUUAGCUCUAAAUAUAAUUGCUCGGUUUGUAAUCAUUCUUUCUCAUAUAAUUACAAUGAAUAUAAUGAUUCCUACAAUAGAAAUUGUAGACCCAAUUCUUGAUACUACGUUUCAUGAUGUAUAUGCGUCUGGGUAGUCAGAGUAUCGUCGAGGUAUUCCUGCUAAUCCUAGGAAGUGUUGAGGAAAGAAUGUUAAAUUUACUCCAAUGAAUAUAAUUGUAAAUUGGAUUUUUAAUCAUGUAUUAUUUAUAGUUAAUCCUGUAAAUAGUGGAUAUCAUUGAAUGACACCUCCUAUAAUUGCAAAUACUGCUCCUAUAGAUAAUACAUAAUGAAAGUGGGCUACUACAUAAUAUGUAUCAUGUAAUACAAUAUCAAGUGAUGAAUUUGCUAAUACUAAUCCUGUUAAUCCACCAAUUGUAAAUAGGAAAAUAAAUCCUAGAGCUCAUAAUAAUGGUGGAUUGAACUUGAAUUUAGUUCCAUAUAAUGUAUCUAAUCAUCUAAAUACCUUAAUUCCUGUAGGUACAGCAAUAAUUAUUGUUGCUGAUGUAAAAUAUGCUCGUGUGUCAACAUCCAUUCCUACUGUAAAUAUAUGAUGUGCUCAUACAAUAAAUCCUAUUAGUCCAAUUGAUAGUAUAGCAUAAAUUAUACCUAAUGUUCCAAAUGAUUCAAUUUUUCCUCUUUCUUGACAUACAAUAUGUGAAAUAAUUCCGAACCCCGGUAGAAUUAAAAUAUAAACUUCUGGGUGUCCAAAGAAUCAAAAUAGAUGUUGAUAUAGAAUUGGUUCACCCUCCUCUAGCAGGAGCUAUUGCACACGGGGGUGCAUCUGUAGAUCUAGCUAUUUUUUCACUGCACUUAGCAGGUGUAUCAUCUAUUCUUGGUGCAGUGAAUUUCAUUACAACAGCAAUUAAUAUACGAUCGGGAAGUAUAACUUUAGAUCAAACACCUUUAUUUGUAUGAUCUGUAGCUAUUACAGCAUUACUUCUCCUUCUUUCACUUCCAGUUUUAGCAGGAGCUAUUACUAUAUUAUUAACAGAUCGAAAUUUAAAUACAUCAUUCUUUGACCCUGCAGGAGGGGGUGACCCAAUUCUAUAUCAACAUCUAUUUUGAUUCUUUGGACACCCAGAAGUUUAUAUUUUAAUUCUACCGGGGUUCGGAAUUAUUUCACAUAUUGUAUGUCAAGAAAGAGGAAAAAUUGAAUCAUUUGGAACAUUAGGUAUAAUUUAUGCUAUACUAUCAAUUGGACUAAUAGGAUUUAUUGUAUGAGCACAUCAUAUAUUUACAGUAGGAAUGGAUGUUGACACACGAGCAUAUUUUACAUCAGCAACAAUAAUUAUUGCUGUACCUACAGGAAUUAAGGUAUUUAGAUGAUUAGCUACAUUAUAUGGAACUAAAUUCAAGUUCAAUCCACCAUUAUUAUGAGCUCUAGGAUUUAUUUUCCUAUUUACAAUUGGUGGAUUAACAGGAUUAGUAUUAGCAAAUUCAUCACUUGAUAUUGUAUUACAUGAUACAUAUUAUGUAGUAGCCCACUUUCAUUAUGUAUUAUCUAUAGGAGCAGUGUUUGCAAUUAUAGGAGGUGUCAUUCAAUGAUAUCCACUAUUUACAGGAUUAACUAUAAAUAAUACAUGAUUAAAAAUCCAAUUUACAAUUAUAUUCAUUGGAGUAAAUUUAACAUUCUUUCCUCAACACUUCCUAGGAUUAGCAGGAAUACCUCGACGAUACUCUGACUACCCAGACGCAUAUACAUCAUGAAACGUAGUAUGAAGAAUUGGGUCUACAAUUUCUAUUGUAGGAAUCAUUAUAUUCAUUGUAAUUAUAUGAGAAAGAAUGAUUACAAACCGAGCAAUUAUAUUUAGAGCUAACAUAAGAAGAUCAACAGAAUGACUACAAAAUAACCCUCCUGCAGAACAUAGUUACUCAGAAUUACCAUUAAUCUCUAGAU